AUUCUAUUGACCAAAGCAAGUCACAAAGCUAGCCCAGACUAGGGAAGUGAAGGGAGAAUAGCCUUCUCCGCCAGAAAAAAAAAAAAAAAUUAAUGUAUUUGUAAUUUUGACAAAUUUUGCAAAAUCAACCUCUAGGGAUAUACCAAUUUAUAUUCUACUGGCAAUGUAUAAGAACAGCUAGCAACUGAGUAUUUUCACUGUGUAUUUUGUCUGUGUAAAAAGGCUGAUGCUAUGACUACAGAAAAACAUUUCAUGGGAAUGGUUCCUGCAAGCAUAGAAUACCAGUUAACAAAGAGUGAAGAGGACACUAUCAUCAUCAUCAUCAACAUCAUCAUCAUCAUCAUUAUUAUUUGCCUGAAGGCCCAGAGUACACCGUAAUGGAGUACUGCUGAUGGGAAAGGAAUUAGCAUUGACCUCUCAGGAGGUUAAUUUGGGAGUUUAGCUCAUGAUCUAGUAAUUCUGCUUCUGGAAGUUUAUGAGAAGGAAGUGCUCUAAUAUGUGCGCCUGUGUGAUCGCUGGGCUUUAGCAUUUUAGGGGUGAGCCAACUGUAUCUCAGAGGUGGCCAUGUCUUGCAUUGAGGAGAGAGAGCACCUGCGAGAACUUCCAUGCUAUAUUCUAUUUGGGAAGAACUUGAACCUUGCAUAACGUAAACGAAGAGAAUUAACAAGAAUUUGUGGCACCCCUUCUGUGUCAGUUCUUCUUCCAGAUAAUAGGAAUAUAGCAAUAAACAAAACAGACCAGGUUCCUGCCCUCAUGGGGGAAAGAGGCAAUCUAAAAAUGAAAAAUGGGCCAGGCGCGGUGGCCCACGCCUGUAAUCCCAGCACUUUCGGAGGCCAAGGUGGACGGAUUACCCAAGGUCAGGAGUUCAAGACCAGCCUGGCCAACAUGGCGAAACCCCAUCUCUACUAAAAAUACAAAAAUUAGCUGGGCGUGGUGGCACGUGCCUGUAAGGCCAGCUACUCGGGAGGCUGAGGCAGGAGAAUUGCUUGAACCCAGGAGGUGGAGGUUGUAGUGAGCUGAGAUUGUGCCAUUGCACUCCAGCCUGGACGACAGAGCGAGACUUCAUCUCAAAAUAAAUAAAUAAAUAAAUAUAAAGAUGAAAAAUGUCACCAAAUGUCAGAUUAAGUACCAAGAGGGAAAAUAAAGCAGCGUCAAGGAUUAGAGAGUAAUAUGGGUGCUAUUUUUAGAUAAGGUGGUCAAGGGGGGGCCUCUUUGAGGAGGUGCCGUUGGGUCAGAGACAUGAAUGAACAAAGGCAGGAAACUAUGCUGAUAUUUGAAGGCAGAACAUUUCAGGAGCGGAGAAAGUAAUACACAGGCCGAAGAUGAGAAGGAAGUUUACGAACUUCGUUUCUGAGACAAGGUCUCACCCUAUCGUCCAGCCUGGAAUACAGUGGCAUGAUCAUAGCUCACUGUAACAUUGAACUCCUGGGCUCAAGCGACCCUCUCGUCUCAGCCUCCUGAGAAUGAACUUCUUUAUUCAGGGGACAGCAGGGAGACCAAUGUGGCUGGAGCAUGGUGAGCAAGCAGGGAGGGUGAUAGCAGCUGAGGUUGGAGAGAAAGCCAGGGGACAGAUCACACUGGCUUUUGAUUUGGGUCAAGUCAGGUGGGAAACCAUUGGAAAGUUUUGAAGUGGAACAUGACCUUUGCUGGCUUAAAUAUUGAAAGGCUAUCCAUGAGGAGUAAAUUACAGCUGGGCAAGAGUGGACACAGAGAGACCAAUUAAGACCUAUUGCAAGUGGUCCAUCCAGGAGGCUGUCAGGAGGCUGGACCAGGGCAGGGCAGCAGUGGAGAAGGUGAGAAGUGGUCAGAGGCAAUAACACUAUAAGAGCAAAGCUGAAGGGAUUUGCUACGAGGUCAAAUGUGAAUUGUAAUAGAAAGAUGAGAGUCAAGGAUGACUUCAAGGUUUUUGGCCUGAGCAAGUGGAAGAAUGGAGCCGUUAUUUACUAAGAAGGGGGAUGCUAGGCAGGAGCAGGUUUGGGAAUAAUGCAGAAUUUAAUUAUGGACAGAUUAAGAAUGAGAUACAGCCUGGGCAACAUGGCGAAACCCCAUCUCUACUAAAAAUACAAAAAGAUUAGCUGGGCAUGGUGGUGCGCACCUAUAAUCCCAGCUACUUGGGAAGCUGAGGCAGGAGCAUCGCUUGAGCCCGGGAGGUGGAGGUUGCAGUGAGCCGAGAGUGUGCCACUACACUCCAGCCUGGGCGACCGAGUGAGACCCUGUCU
rnacentral:lncRNA from 10 species